rnacentral:SRP_RNA from 1 species
CCGUACAGCCGGGGAGAUAGCGGUGCCCUGUAUCUGCAACCCGCUUUAGCAGAGGUGAUAUCCUGCCUAGGGUGUCCAUCUGUAAGGCUGCCCCGGAUAAGUGAUGCUGACGUGAGGGUCCUUACGCAACAAAACCCUGUGAACCUUGUCAGGACAGGAAUGUAGCAGCAAUAAGCGGGAGCUUUUGUGUGCCGUAAGACAGCCGUCGCCGAGUCAACUGUCCGGGUAACGUUUAUGGCUGGCAUUCAAAGCAGGAUGUACGG